UACAGAGGGUGCAAGCGUUAAUCGGAAUUACUGGGCGUAAAGCGUGCGCAGGCGGUUUUGUAAGCCAGAUGUGAAAUCCCCGGGCUUAACCUGGGAAUGGCAUUUGGGACUGCAAGGCUUGAGUUUGGCAGAGGAGACUGGAAUUCCUGGUGUAGCAGUGAAAUGCGUAGAUAUCAGGAGGAAUACCGAUGGCGAAGGCAGGUCUCUGGGCUAGAACUGACGCUCAUGCA
rnacentral:rRNA from 1 species